UAGGGAAUCUUCCGCAAUGGACGCAAGUCUGACGGAGCAACGCCGCGUGAGUGAAGAAGGAUUUCGGUUCGUAAAACUCUGUUGUUAGAGAAGAACAGCGCAUAGAGUAACUGUUAUGCGUGUGACGGUAUCUAACCAGAAAGCCACGGCUAACUACGUGCCAGCAGCCGCGGUAAUACGUAGGUGGCAAGCGUUGUCCGGAUUUAUUGGGCGUAAAGCGAGCGCAGGCGGUCAAUUAAGUCUGAUGUGAAAGCCCCCGGCUCAACCGGGGAGGAUCAUUGGAAACUGGUUGACUUGAGUGCAGAAGAGGAGAGUGGAAUUCCAUGUGUAGCGGUGAAAUGCGUAGAUAUAUGGAGGAACACCAGUGGCGAAGGCGACUCUCUGGUCUGUAACUGACGAUGAGGUUCGAAAGCGUGGGUAGCAAACAGG
rnacentral:rRNA from 1 species